UUCAGCAGGAGGAAUGGAGAAUGUAGAUGAUUCAUAACCAUCUCGUGCCUAAGACGCGCUCCAGAGAAGCUCGAGGAUGUGGUUUGAAAUGUCCUCAGACAGAGGAGAGAAUCUGAGCCUGUCUCUUCCAUAUCCUGAGCCUGGUUGUUGCUCCAUUCAGCAUCUAAAGUGGUCUACCCAGCAUCCAGGAGAAUUUACAGAGUACUGUAUCAUAAAAUAUGAAAAUGUUGCUGCUGACUGAUGUUGACAAACAUCAUAAGAAAGAAUCUGUGGAUGGACAAGUCAUACGGACACGACCAGUUUAGAGGAAAAAACUGUGAAGGUCUUAGGAGACUCUCUUAUCCAGUUAAUGAGGUCAAGAUCAGAAAAAAUUGCUCCGGUUGAGCAUCCUCAUAUUGUAUAUAAAACAUGUUUCAAAAUACUAAUACUAGAAACAGACCUAUCCUUGAUGAACUCCAGAUGAUUCCACUGAUGUUAAUACAAAGAAAAAAAUCCAACCUCUUUCCUCCUCCAUCCCCUUUUCUUGCCAGAGGUAAUCCAGAGAUUCGUGCACUGUUAAAGUCAUUAUGACAUAGUUUGGAACUAGCAAAAAUGAAAAUGAUUCAUCUCAUCUUUCCUAUGAUGUUUAAAAAUGUAUUUUGCAGUAGCUUUAAGUACAAGCCAGUUAGAAAACGUUCAGCAAUUUAAAUAAAUAUCAUAGGAAAAACCUUUGAAGUGGAAGAUCGUGAGUGAACACAUCUGCUUAACAGAAUUGAAAGCACAAGGGUUUGAGACCUUUCCCUUAAGUCCUAUCAAACAAAAUUAAAAUAAAAGUCGUGCUUUGUUUUAAAUAUUUUACUUAUAAACUUUUUGCAUUGUUUUGUAUUUUUACACUUACACAGCAACAUGAAUGUUUAGAUGAACAAACAUCUCAUUUCUCUCUGUAGAAGAAGUAUUGUGAUUUUUAUUUAUUGAGCUAGCGUAAGUGCUACCUUUGGUAGCAAAAGUCUCAUUUACUUUUGGCUAAAUAAAGCCUUUAGGAGAUAACAUAUGAGAUUAUCUUUAGUUCUUUAAUAUCAGUCACAAUAAAAGUUUUUGAAGGUACUGCAGUUUAAACGUUUCAAUAUAAUAUCCAAGAGUCUGAUCUUGCCUUAUGAAGAGUUGUCUCUUGAUCAAAAGGAUGGAGCACAUGAAUUAGGAAGUCUUUUCCAUCUUGAAGUACUAGGAUUCUGUGAUUCAUUCUAUUCAUAGCAUAGCCUGAAAUCUUUUUCCAUUAUUAUCCAGUCAGUAAUGCUGAAAAAACAUCCUUAAGCCUAAUGAUCUUGUUCAAAUAUUUUUUGAGUGGAGGAAGGGAUGGAAUAGAUAAAAUCAAAGAAAACUCAGACCUCAGUAAAGAUUUUCCCUAUGGGAGAAAUGAGAGAACUAUUUUAUGAUCAUUUUUUCUCCUUUUCCACACAAAUGUGUCUUUCCUCUAGAUACUGUAUAAAUGCUAGAUUGUUACAGUGCUUGCUUGCUUAAGCAUUCUGUCUCAUAUGUUACUGCCUGCUAAGGAUUUUGUGAUUAACGCUAGUCACAGAUGUCUCUUCCAAACUGGUAAUGUCCAUGACCAGACCCAGAUGAUUUUGUGCAGAGUAGUGGGUGAACUUGCUUUAUCUCCUUGAACCGCUGAACAUCAUGUUGAGUACAGGGCAAUACAAGAGUAAUAUAGUUACUUGGUUUUAAGGACUGCCACACUUAAAGAAAUUAAAAGCCUAGUACAUGUCAGAUCAGUAAAAGCUAGCUUUACCAAUAGAUGAAAUUUUUGAAAUUAAAUGUUUACUAGGAAAAAUAGAACAGACUUAAAAAUAAAACUACAAAUGGAUUUUACGUAAUCUUAACCAAUUAAUGAUAAGGAUAUACUUUAGAUAUUUCAGCAUCUCAGCUAGUUUGUGAAAUUGGAUAUCUUCUUCAAUUUACAUUAUAUUUGACAUGUGCUGGAGAGUGCUGGUGCUACAUGCUUCCCAGAGUCACUGACGGUAACUGCCUCAGGCACUUCUGUAGUCCAAAAUGGAGUGAUUCAAUCAGUUGCUCUUUUUCACUUCUCACUUUUUCACUUCCUGUAUUGGGUGGUGGACAUCACAUAAGAUUGUACUAGGUCAUCCUGGCCUUUCCUUUUCCUCCUCUUUCUCUAGUCUUUCACAUGAAAUAUUUCUAUGGUGUAUCCUGAUUAGAUUCUAUAUAUUUAGCUUUAACCUGCUUUUGUUGUGAUUAUAGCCUCUAUAAACAUUGUGAUAUAUUUUUACAACUAUCAUGAGAAAUAUGAAAGGUACACAUUUUUAAAGAUUUGUGAUAUGUAGUUUGGUACAAGCUUUGCAUAGACUAUGCAUGUUUAAACAAAAUUGACCUAAAUAUCAAGUUCCAAGACUAUGUAAGAUUCCUCCUUCUGAGAUUGUGUUAGAUUUAAGGAACCCUGUCACACUGUUAAAUUUCUGUAAUAUUCAAAUGAUCAUUUAAACUCCUGACCUCUUAUCAAACAUAUUCUUAAUAGGUUUUUCUGACAUUAAUU